rnacentral:tmRNA from 1 species
GGGGGCGAAAGGGCUCGACGGGGGUUAUGAGGCUCGGGUUGCAUGUCGUGGUUCCGUCACCACGUAAAAAGGCGGAAACAAACACAAACGCCAAUAACGAACUGGCACUUGCUGCUUAAUUAACUAAGCAGCCGCUGCCCUGAAAUUGCCUGUGUUUCAGGUCACAGCGUCGGUAAGCAGGCUGGCCUCGGGUCUUUCUCCUGAACCUGAGGUAAGAUUAAAGGAGAUGGGAUGAUAAAAAGCCCGCCUGCUGGCGGUUUAUCAUCCGAGAUUUAAAAGGCAGGAUAAGCAUGUAGAAGCCUGAGAGUAGUACUUUCGGACGCGGGUUCAAUUCCCGCCGCCUCCACCA